GAUGAACGCUGGCGGCGUGCCUAAUACAUGCAAGUCGAGCGAACAGACGAGGAGCUUGCUCCUCUGACGUUAGCGGCGGACGGGUGAGUAACACGUAGAUAACCUACCUAUAAGACUGGGAUAACUUCGGGAAACCGGAGCUAAUACCGGAUAAUAUAUUGAACCGCAUGGUUCAAUAGUGAAAGACGGUUUUGCUGUCACUUAUAGAUGGAUCCGCGCCGCAUUAGCUAGUUGGUAAGGUAACGGCUUACCAAGGCAACGAUGCGUAGCCGACCUGAGAGGGUGAUCGGCCACACUGGAACUGAGACACGGUCCAGACUCCUACGGGAGGCAGCAGUAGGGAAUCUUCCGCAAUGGGCGAAAGCUUGACGGAGCAACGCCGCGUGAGUGAUGAAGGUCUUCGGAUCGUAAAACUCUGUUAUUAGGGAAGAACAAAUGUGUAAGUAACUAUGCACGUCUUGACGGUACCUAAUCAGAAAGCCGCGGCUAACUACGUG
rnacentral:rRNA from 1 species